GAAGAAAAUAGUUUCCUCAGUUUCAUGCUUGUUUCUCAGUGCUCCUAGUUUUACCCAAAGUUUUGGAACCUUCCUUAGAUCUAGUCAUUUUUAAAAAGCCAGAUCCUUUGAUUAUUUCCAGUAAAAUGAGUUUUUGGGUAGUCAAGUGCUGUGGGGAGGAAUAACGUUGCUGGGCUGUAAGGAGGAUAAUGGGCUAGGGAAUAAUUUUCCUCUCAUAAGAUAGAGACUAUGAAUAAACAGUUUAUAUAUGUAAAGUUUUUACUUUCCAUUUUUCUCUUUUAUUAUUGUGAUUUAUAUGUAUAUUAUUAAAAGUUUAGAAUAGAAAUAUAUAACAACAGAAAAAUCACUGAAGAUGCUGAUAUUAUUAAUAUAUUGGGAAAUUUAAUCUUGUUUAUGUAUUUUUUUAAGCUUUGUGGAUUUUAAAAGAGUUACUCAUCUAUCCACAUCACAAUUGAUUUUCUGCAGUACUAAUUAUGGUCUUUACUGCUUCAAAGGAAUACUUUAAUUCUGGUAUGGCAUUUUGUGUUUCCUUGUAUUUUUUUCUUAGUCCAGUGGCUUCAUGUUCUUUUCUGUUUUCAUUUUAGCCUAUUAGUUCUUGAAGUUUUUUCAUCUUACUUCAUAGAGACUGUGUUUUCAUACACCUCUGUUUAGGGCACCAAACAAAUGUUACUGAAAAGUUUCUAUGGUAUUGUAGAAUGUCUUCAGAGAUACUGUAUUGACUUUGUCCUGUGUUAUCCUUAGACAGGGAGUGGUCUUUCCAGCCUAAUAUAAAUAGGGUGUACAGAAUGUUCCUAGCACUGUCCACUUGUAUUCUGAGAACUCCUUCUCUGAAGCAAACAUUGAAGGCUGGUUAUGUGCCCAGCCUCCGUUCAGUUUCUAGGGUUUAGCAUUCCUUCCCUAGAUCACUCCAUAAAUACUUAACUUCCUACUAUGUGCCAGAUACUGUUAUAGGUGCUGGCAAUAUGGCAGUGAACAAACUCAGCUUAUGUAAAAUAAGUAAACCUGUAAUUAUAUAACAUGGACUAUAAUAUGAAGCUUCUGGUAAGGGACAUAGGAGGGAAGCUAGGGAGGCGAUUAUUAUAUAUAGGAUGUUAGGGCAAGAUCUACAGAACAAAAUGUAACAUUAGAACUAAUAGAAUUGAGGGAAUGAGUUCUGUGGUUAGAGGAAGAGAAUUCCUAGUAAAGAAAUCAAAGAAAGCUUUUUAAGCCAUUCUAAGGCUUUGGCUUUUAUUCAGAGUGAGAUGAGAUAAUGUUUUAGGGUUCUGAACAGAGUGAUGUCCCAGAUGCCGAGUGGUUUAAGAAAGAGGGAGUGAUCAGGUGUGCCAGGUACUGUUGACAGGGUGAGGGAGAGGAGGGCUGAGAACUCACUGUUGGAUGUAGCAAUGGGGAGGUCACUGGUGACUUUGACAAGAACUAUUUUGAUGAAGUAAUGAGGAUGAAAGCUGUUUGGAAUGGAUUCCAGAAGGAAUGGGAGUAGCUGGACUGGAGGCAGAGUAGAGACUACACGUUAGAGGAGUUUUACUCUAAAAAGGAAGAGAUAUAGGGUGGUAGCUGGAGGAGGAUGUGGAGCCAGGAGAGUUUUAAAACAUCUUUUAUGUGGAAGAAAUUAUGACAGCACAUUUGUAUGCUGGGAAUGAUCCAGUAGAGAAUAACAACUUGGUGGUACAAGAGCAAGUGGACAAUUGUUGGAACAAUGUUUUUAAGUAGAUGAGAAGAAUGGGCUCCAGUGCACAAGGGGCAGGAUGGGUCUUAGCUAGAAGCCUGAGCUGUACUGGCUACAGGAUACAGGCUGGGUGUUUGGACACAGAGCAUAUACAUGGGUGGGAGCCACUCAGGUGGCUCAUCGGGCCUCUUGCCGUAGUUAGUAUAUUUGACAGAUGAAGGUGUGGUCUGUGGUUCUCAUGCCAUGUAUACCAGGGUGCUGCAUGAAAGGCCAUACCUCUCACUCUCCCCUCAUGGGCACAAACAGACAUGGGCUCUUCCCAGGCCUCUCUUCUUGUCCUCACCACUUUCUUUUGGUAAUAUAGCAUUGCAUUUAUGUCCAUUCUGCAGUUGAAAAACUCUGGAGCUGAGACUGGCUUAGCCAUUAACAUAAGGUCACAUACUGAUAAAUGUUAGGUUAGAGAAAUGAAUAGACAUUUUGACUGUUUCUGGGUUCUUUCACAUCAUUAUCAGGUUAGACCAAGGAAACAGGGAAGUUUUUCUUCUGAAGAAUCUGGGAUUUGUUGUCACCUUGAAAAUGAUUGUGUGAAUGCACAAUCUAUUCAGGUGCAUAGGGGCGCCUUUACCAGAUGGAGGGGAGUUCCAGCUGUGUACAAUAUACAGAUGGCCUUUGCCCCCUUUGCUGAGAAGGGGCUUGGAGCAUUGGGGAGCCUCCACCCCUCGUCACAGCCUUUGAGGGGCUGCACUCUGACCACAUUUUCCUGCCUGCUCAUCCUCCUUCAUCUUUAAGUCAGCUUUUUUCCUUUUGCUUAUUACAUUGAGGAGAAGCAGGGUUUAUGUGCACAUUCAGUUGCCCCUAAUCAGAGACUUUUGUACUUGGAAAAAUCUAUUGUAGGACUUCUGGUCUAAUCCUCUCCAUAUCUACUCCACCUUCUUCAGUUGCCUAUGUUGGCAUCUUAGGCACUAUCUACUAUCUACUUCUAGUACUUUCUACCCUUAAAACAGGAAAACAUACACACGCACGUGUGGGAGCACACAUGCACACACACACACACACACACACACACACACACAGCUGCUUUGUUCUCUUUUGGAAAGGGUUUUAAGAGAAAAAUUGUGAGGGUUUAGCCUGAAAACAACUUUCCCUACUGUUCCAAGGGCUGUCAUUGCAAUCGUUAUUUGGGCCACUGGAGGCGGGGCUUUGGCGUGCAUCUCGCAGUCACUCUGUGCAUUUCCCUCAAAAUCUGCUACUUUAUAUUAAGUGAGCUGUACACUCCAAGUGGUAGGUGUUUUCUAUUCCACAUACAUAGUGUAUUAAGUCUCUGUAGAUGACUGUCAUGUCAUGGCUAACCAGUCUGAACUCCUAAUUAUAAUGAGGCAUUAUUAAAAAGGUUCAGAGGUAUAGAUGGAUGAAAAUGGUGUUUCACAUAUUAAAAUAGGACUCACUUAACCAAAGAAUAUAUUUAGAUGAAUCUUAAGCUUGCCUUAAAAACAGAAGUUGAGGUUAAAAAGAAUUUAGAAAAAAUAAAGUUUUAGAGUGUUUGAGAAUGUAUAUAUAAAAUAUUUUCAAAGCCGUAACACAGAUGCUCUUAUAGCUCAGAAGCACGCCUACUAGAACACAUCUUGGAAUGAGAUGUUGAAUUCUAUCGCCUCCCAGAAAGUUUUGCAGGGUUUUUCACUUGAAUUUGCUUCCCUUUGCAACCUCUUGUUCUGAAGGCCCCCUUCCUACCUGGAAAUGCUGAGGCAUGGGUGUUAUGAGAAUCAAUCAUUUUGAAGAGAAUGAGGUGAUGACUUUGUUAACAUAUCCAUAUAUGUUUAUUGUGUGUGUGGCGGGGUGGGGGCUCGGGUGGAGGCUUAAGGCAAAAUCUAGAAUUAGUCAUAUGAAUUAUGGGCUUGUUUGGCGACUGGGCUGCUCCUGCUCCCAAUCAGUGCCAGUAAAUCCUGCAGACAGCUUCAACACCACUACUCUGUUUCUAUCCCACUCAUAUAAAAUUCCAUGCCAAGAUACAAACCACAAUCCUCCCUUUCUUGGUUUUUCAUGCAAGAACUAUUUUAGAAUAAAGUUAAAUGUCAAACCUUGAAGAACUUUUAACAGAGGAGGCUUCAGAUCAUUUAGUUCACAGGAUAGCUAAAAAAUGUUAAAAAAAAUUAGGACUAAAAUACUAACAUUUUAGAGGCCUAUAUUUUUUACUGAAUUUCAGCUCCAGAGGAAGACAAAAUUGCUAAGUUGGAAGGAUAGGAUAAAAGAAGAAACAGUGAGAAAAGCAUAAAUGUAAACAGCAGCACUUUCAUGCUCAGGAGAAACCCAGAGGCCCCAUGUGUGAAUAACAUUGCAAUGGCUGCUUUAUGCAGUAUGUAAAUAAACACAGUUCCCACACCAUUUAAAAUAUUCAACAUUGACCUAAACAGGCAUAGACAUAAAAUGCCAUUCCAGACAGAUGUUUGUGAAUAUAUGCACAGAACACAUUGCAGGAAGAACUUGGUGCCUUUUCCCAAAUAUUUUAUUGUGCAUACAUUUCGGAUUAGAAACACACUCAGUUUUCAUAGUCUGAGCAAUGGAAAACAUUUUUAAUCAGCCCUAGACAGCAGGAAAAAUUCCUGCAGGAGUUCUACAAGGUUUAUUCUUCAUUUAACAGAUGUUUAUUGAUAAUAGAAGGCAGGAAGCUAUAUGGCAUGUCUCUAGCUUCAAAGAGCUUAAAAUGUGGGUAGCGACCUUUAGGGGAGUUUGGUCAUCAGGGAAUUAAAGAUAACUUUCAUACAGCUAUGUGAGAAAAGUAUAAAAUCAUAAAGAACAAGGAGGAGGCAACAGUUAUGAUUCCAAAAUGACAAACUAAAAAAGAACAUCCAGGCAAGAAUCAAGAACCAACAAUGCCAUGCAUUAAUUAUUCCAGUGCCUCCUAUGUUACAGAAUGUGUUUCAAUGUACUUCUUUGAUAAUCUAAUGAAAGUUAUGGGCCCCGUAUAUCCAUAUAUCCUCAUACAUUUGCACAAAGUGUCAAGGAUUUCAUGUUCUGGACAAUGUCUGAGUCCAUGGGCUUUGUAUUUUAAAUCUUGUAUAGUUACAUUUACCAUAGUUAAUGUGUUAUAACUAUUUAUAUUUCCCUCAUCUCCACAAGAGUAAAAGCACUUCAAGCACAGCAGUGCAUUAUGUUCUAUAUUUUAUCUACACCCCAUUCUGUUUUGCAUUGUGCCUGAUGCAUAGAAGGUAGUAAAAAUACUGAUCACCUAUUUGCCUACUUACUUCAGUGUCCAGGUGUUAGGUUAAUGCAGCAUCUUGCGAAUAUCAGUCAUUUGAGUAAACACCCUCACAAUUUUUGCGGUAGCUGUUUACCACCUGUAUUACUUUAUAAGAUAAUGGUUUUUGGUGAUAGACAGCAUUAAAUACUAUAAAAUUUCGGAGUUGAGCAUGUUAUUUCCCUUCCAUUUCAUUUUAGCUUAACUCACACCAAGGAGGCAGUCCUAAUUUAGUUCUGGUGUAUCUUUAACAUCUCUCUGACAUUUGAGGAUCUUCCUUUGGAACAAAAAGAGAGGCUAUUGUAGGCAGCAGUAUCUGGCUAGAAAUGAAUAACAUUGCUUUGUUUCUUCUUUCAUUGUGGUUAGUUUUAUGCAAAGUGAUAGUAAUUUUGUAUUUAUAGAAGUGACAAAAAUUUUUUUAACACAGACUUAGAUUUAUAAAAAGUUUUAAAGAAAAGCAUCACAUCAGCUAUCUAUUGCUGUAUGGACUACUUCCAAAACAUACUGGUUUAAAAAACAAUUACUUAUUUGGAUUCUGUGGGUUGGCUGGGCUCUGCUAGGCAAUUCUUCUCUCUAUGAGGUCUGCUGGGGGCAUUCCUGUGGCUUGAGAGUUUGGUUGAGGCUGGAAGGACCGAGAUAGCUUUAUUCAUUGUUGUGGUCUGAAUGUUAGUGUCCUCUCAAAAUUCAAAUGUUGGAACUGAAGACUCAGUGUAAGAUUAAGAGGUGAGACUUUGAGGAGAUGAUUAGGUCAUGAGGGCAGAGCACUCAUGAAUGGAAUUAGUGCCCUUAUAAAAGAGGUUUGAGGGAGGCUGUUUACCCCUUCUGCCAUGUGAAGGUGCAGCAGGAAGGCUCUAUUUAUGAAGCAGAGCAAGUCCCCACCAGACACUAAAUCUUCUGAUACCUUGAUCUUGGACUUCCUGCCUUUAGAACUAGGACCAAUAGAUUUCUGUUGUUUAUAAAUUACUGUCUAAAGUAUUUUGUUCCGGCAGCCUGAAUGGACUAAGACACUCAUACAUCUGGCAGCCUAGCUGGGGUGGCCAGAAUGGCUGCAGCUGGUCAAGCCUUUCCAUGCUUAGGGGUAUCUCAUCACUUCCUACUGAUGAGAGACCACAUGGAGCUUUUUAACAUGAUGGCUGGAUACAAAGACAGUAAAAAAGAAAACUACAAAGUCUUUUAAGGCCCAGACCUAAAAGUCACAAUGCAUCACUACUACUACAUUUUAACUGGUCAAAUCAAGUGACAAAACAAGUCCAGAUUCAAGGGGAGGAGAAAUAGACUCCACACCUUUUGGGGGGUUAUUGGCAUAUAUGUUCGGAAAUGGGAAGAAUCUUUGGUAAAGAUUUUAUAAACAAUCAACAGAAAUGGUUAAGUAAAUAAUAGAACAGGUUGUAGCAGAUAUGGCAAAAAUUGUGAGGGUGAUAUUCAAAUGGAGAUGCUGUCUUAACCUAACAUCUAAAUAUUGCAGUAGACAGUCAGUCAGUUGAUGAUUUUUAGUACCUUGUACAUACUAAGCACAGCGCUAUACACAAAGGGGUUUUAUGAAAAAGAUAGCAUGAUAUAACCUGGUCCUAGAACUUCUUACAUUCUAGUGAGGAAAACAGGAUAUAAAUAAAUAUAACACAAUAGCCAUGACGCAUGUUACAGUAAUAGGUUUGAAAUAUAGAGUGUCGUCAUUUUAUGUAAAGCUCUGAGUGUAAACAGACUUUCUUGGGCCCAUGAUUUGUAGCAGAUAUCAAAAAAGUGUGAAAUCCUAAAAUGACCUAAAAAAACUGAAGAGACACAAUGGGAUGAAGCACAGAGAUCAAAGCUACUAACAGUAGUGGUAAAGAAGAGGCUUCACAGAAGUGGUAACAUUUAAAGGUAGGAAAGAGGGAAGAUUGAGGAGGAAGAAUUGGCACAAGUUGGAAGCCAAUUAGAUGUGGGGAGGUGAGAUAUGUGUAGAGGAAGGAGAUGAAGAAUUAGGAAUGUGGGGGAAUUGAAGAAAGGAAAAGGGGAGCAGUUAAUUAAAGGAUGAUAAUUUUCUAGCUGGGGAAAAUGGUAGAUGGUAGAAAAUAUAGGAGGAAGAUGGAUUUUCUAAGAACAGCUUUCCAGAAUUCAGGUUUGUCCAAGUGAUUGAGUGAUUUGUCCAAGUGUCCAAGUGAUUGAGAUGCCCAUGUGAUAAACCAACAAACAAUUGGACAUGCAAGUCUGGAACCUGCCUACCUUGUGCCAGGCACCUUUAUAGGAAUUGCAUAUAAAGCUGUGAAUAUUCUAAGAUAUUCACAUUCUAGUGAAUAUGAAUACAAAAUACAAAUGUGUCAAAUCCUUAAAGGA